GUAGAGUAGAUAUUGUACGUUAAGUGUCACACGAAGGGAAGAUAACGGUGUGAACGAAGGACUUGAUGAUCCGCGUUACGGUAUCGCUUCCGCUA
rnacentral:ncRNA from 1 species